GACAGAGGGUGCGAACGUUGUUCGGAAUUACUGGGCGUAAAGCGCGUGUAGGCGGCAACGCAAGUCGGGCGUGAAAGCCCCGGGCUUAACCCGGGAAUGGCGUCCGAAACUAUGGAGCUGGAGUGUGGCAGAGGGAGGUGGAAUUCCACGUGUAGCAGUGAAAUGCGUAGAGAUGCGGAGGAACACCGAUGGCGAAGGCAGCCCCCUGGGCUAACACUGACGCUCAGGCACGAAAGCGUGGGGAGCAAACAGG
rnacentral:rRNA from 1 species